GUGAUUAUGGUUUUGACCCUUUUGGUCUGGGAAAACCCGCCGAGUACUUGCAGUAUGACUUGGAUUCUCUGGAUCAGAACUUGGCCAAGAACUUGGCGGGCGACGUUAUUGGGACCAGGACUGAGACUGCUGAUGUUAAAUCGACUCCGUUUCAGCCUUACAGUGAGGUUUUUGGACUCCAGAGGUUUAGGGAGUGCGAGCUGAUCCAUGGAAGGUGGGCUAUGUUGGCCACUCUUGGUGCCUUGACUGUCGAGUGGCUCACCGGCAUCACAUGGCAAGAUGCCGGAAAGGUAAGCACAUAUUUACUCUUUCAACUAGCUAUUUAUAUAUUUAUGAUUUAACAUAUACUAUCUAGCGUCAAUUAUGCUAUUUACUUUCCCUUGAGUCACGAAUUGGCCUAAUAUUAGAUAGUUCGUGCAUGUAUGUGUGUGUUAAUAUUCCUAAAGAGAGACGGUUUUUGUGAAGAAAAAGGUGUUUGUUCAUUCAAUUAAAAAUUAUGCAAGAAAAGUAGACAUAGCACUCCCGUUUUGAGUGAAAAUUACAAAUCCAUCUGUGUAUUUUGCAUGUUUUUUAUGUGGUUUUGCUUAUUAUUUCUCUCGAAAUGGGAUUGUGUGGGCCAAUGGGACGGUCAUGAUUAAAGCUUAAAUAACAAAAUUGCACUAAACUUCAUUUUCCAUUAAGUUGACCUUCUUUUUUUUUUUUUUUUUUUAAUCCUUUCACGUAUGUUGAUGCUCCAUGGUUGUUUAUUUAUCAUCGUUAGUACUAUCUAUGCAAUAGCACUAAUGUGACAAUAAAUGAGAAUUAUAGUUAAAUAAAUUACAUAAUUUCACCUUUUGUUGAGUCUAUUGCUUAGUGAAAUCAUAGCAUUAUUCUUUUAAUAUGGAGUAAUGGUAUUCAAAAUUGUAUGAUUUACAGAAAUUUCUUGAUAAAAAAUUUGAUCUUGACGGAUCAAAAUUUAGAAUGACUAAUGAAUGUACAUUUAACAGGUUGAACUUGUUGAGGGUUCCUCCUACCUUGGCCAACCACUUCCAUUCUCCAUAACCACGUUAAUAUGGAUUGAGGUCCUCGUCAUUGGAUACAUUGAGUUCCAGAGGAAUGCCGAGCUUGACCCUGAGAAGAGGCUUUACCCGGGUGGCAAAUUCUUCGAUCCGCUUGGCUUGGCAGCCGACCCUGAGAAGAAAGCCACCCUUCAACUGGCGGAGAUAAAGCAUGCCCGCCUUGCCAUGGUGGCGUUUCUUGGCUUUGCCGUCCAGGCUGCUGCCACCGGCAAAGGUCCACUUAACAACUGGGCUACUCACUUGAGUGACCCUCUUCACACUACCAUUUUGGACACCUUCGG
rnacentral:lncRNA from 1 species